rnacentral:rRNA from 1 species
GAGUUUGAUCCUGGCUCAGAUUGAACGCUGGCGGCAGGCCUAACACAUGCAAGUCGAACGGUAACAGGAAGAAGCUUGCUUCUUUGCUGACGAGUGGCGGACGGGUGAGUAAUGUCUGGGAAACUGCCUGAUGGAGGGGGAUAACUACUGGAAACGGUAGCUAAUACCGCAUAACGUCGCAAGACCAAAGAGGGGGACCUUCGGGCCUCUUGCCAUCGGAUGUGCCCAGAUGGGAUUAGCUUGUUGGUGGGGUAACGGCUCACCAAGGCGACGAUCCCUAGCUGGUCUGAGAGGAUGACCAGCCACACUGGAACUGAGACACGGUCCAGACUCCUACGGGAGGCAGCAGUGGGGAAUAUUGCACAAUGGGCGCAAGCCUGAUGCAGCCAUGCCGCGUGUAUGAAGAAGGCCUUCGGGUUGUAAAGUACUUUCAGCGGGGAGGAAGGGAGUAAAGUUAAUACCUUUGCUCAUUGACG